ACUCCUACGGGAGGCAGCAGUGGGGAAUUGUUCGCAAUGGGCGCAAGCCUGACGACGCAACGCCGCGUGGAGGAUGAAGACCUUCGGGUCGUAAACUCCUUUCGAUCGAGACGAACAGCCAUCGGGUGAACAGCCCGGAGGUUUGACGGUACCGAGAGAAGAAGCCCCGGCUAACUCCGUGCCAGCAGCCGCGGUAAUACGGGGGGGGCAAGCGUUGUUCGGAAUUACUGGGCGUAAAGGGCUCGUAGGUGGCCAACUAAGUCAGACGUGAAAUCCCUCGGCUUAACCGGGGAACUGCGUCUGAUACUGGAUGGCUUGAGUUCGGGAGAGGGAUGCGGAAUUCCAGGUGUAGCGGUGAAAUGCGUAGAUAUCUGGAGGAACACCGGUGGCGAAGGCGGCAUCCUGGACCGACACUGACACUGAGGAGCGAAAGCCAGGGGAGCAAACGGGAUUAGAUACCCCGGUAGUCCUGGCCCUAAACGAUGAAUGCUUGGUGUGGCGGGUAUCGAUCCCUGCCGUGCCGAAGCUAACG
rnacentral:rRNA from 1 species